AUUGGUAAUUUGUUAGAUUCGAUCGUAUUGAAAAUUAAUUUAAUUUCCGUUCAAUCAGUGUCCGCGGGCGUGGUUGACCAUUUAAUUUCAGACAACGUCGGAACUUUGUGGAAAUCCGACUGCUGUGAAACCACAGUUUAGCAGUUGGCUCCCGAGGACUGAUGAUUGAUAAUUGAUUUAGAUCCCGAAUUAUUAUCUCCGACGAUACCUCGCGAAGAAACUCG